rnacentral:rRNA from 1 species
AUGAACGCUGGCGGCGUGCCUCAUGCAUGCAAGUCGAACGGGAACACUUUUAGUAGCAAUACUGGGGGUGUUCUAGUGGCGAUCGGGUGAGUAACACGUAGGUGACCUGCCCCGAAGAGGGGGAUAACGGUCCGAAAGGACUGCUAAUACCCCAUGUGGUUGAUGAUUCAUUUCGUCAAUUAAAGCUUCCGCAAGGAGUGUGCUUCGGGAGGGGCCUGCGGCGGAUUAGAUAGUUGGUGGGGUAAUGGCCUACCAAGUCGAUGAUCCGUAGCUAGUCUGAGAGGACGAUUAGCCACACUGGCACUGAACACACGGGCCAGACUCCUACGGGAGGCAGCAGCAGGGAAUAUUGCACAAUGGGCGAAAGCCUGACUGCAGCAACGCCGCGUGAGGAUGAAGGUCUUCGGAUUGUAAACCUCUUUUUCUAGGGACGAGCAAGGACGGUACCUAGCGAAUCAGUCAACGGCUAACUACGUGCCAGCAGCCGCGGUAAUACGUAGGUUGCAAGCGUUAUUCCGGAUUUACUGGGCGUAAAGCGUGCACCGAGGUGGCUUCUAAGUGGAUGUAUGAAAUCUCACGGCUAACUGCGGAGGCGCCAUUCAAUACUGAGGCAGCUGAGGUCAGCAGGGAAGGGCGUGGAAUUCCGGGUGUAGUGGUGGAAUGCGUAGAGAUCGGGAGGAACACCAGUAGGCGAAGCGCCCUCUGGGCUCGCACCUGACACUCUAGUGCCGACAGCAGUGGGGAGCAAACAGGAUUAGAUACCCCUGGUAGUCCACGCCCUAAACGAUGGCAUACUAGGCUGCUGGACGGUCUCGACCCCUCCGUGCCGCAGCCAACGCGAUAAGUCUGCCGCCUGGGGAGUACGGCCGCAAGGCUAAAACUCAAAGGAAUUGACGGGGGCCCGCACAAGCAGCGGAGCGUGUGGUUUAAUUCGAGGCUACACGAAGAACCUUACCUAGCUUUGUAUGGCGCUGAACGAGGGUGAAAGCCUGAGGUUCGCAAGACAGCGUCACUGGUGCUGCAUGGCUGUCGUCAGCUCGUGCCGUGAGGUGUUAGGUUAAGUCCUGUAACGAGCGCAACCCCCGGGUCCAGUUACACGUGUCUGGACCGACUGCCCGUGACAAGCGGGAGGAAGGUGGGGAUGACGUCAAGUCAGCAUGGCCAGUAUAGCUAGGGCUACACACACGCUACAAUGGUCGGUACAAUGGGUCGCCAAGCCGCAAGGCGGAGCCAAUCCACCAAAGCCGAUCACAGUUCGGAUUGUGGGCUGCAACCCGCCCGCAUGAAGUCGGAGUUGCUAGUAACCGCCGGUCAGCCAUACGGCGGUGAGUACGUUCCCGGGCCUUGUACACACCGCCCGUCACGUCAUGGGAGCUGGUCACGCCUCAAGCCAGUCGGCUAACCGCAAGGAGGCAACUGUCCAAGGCAGGGCCGGUGACUGGGACG